CCCUUUCAAAAGAAGACAUCCAACUCAGCGUUUCUUUCUCUCUGCUUGCCAGUCAGGAUGUAGUUCUCAACCACAACUCCAGCAUUAUGCCUGCUAAGCUCUUGCCAUGAUGAAGAUGGACUAAACCUCUGAAACUGGCUAGAACACUGGAUUCUCGAUUGUACGUCAUGAUCUAACAUAGCAGUUCUCAAAGUGCUUUCUUUUCAGACAGUCCUCCUGAUAAAGGUAGUUUCAUCAAUACCGAGGCCCUAUUGUCUCUUGUAUUCUUUGUCCCAAGGGAACACAUUAAGUACAGAAGCAACAGAGAAGCCAGCUCACCUCUCUUGUGCCAGAUAAAAAAGACUUACGGAAACUACCUUUUUUUUUUUUUUCUCGCUCUUUUUGAGUUUUGAAAUGAAAGCUUUUAAUAAUAAAUAUCGUGUAAUGCU